UACGUAGGUGGCAAGCGUUGUCCGGAAUUAUUGGGCGUAAAGCGCGCGCAGGCGGUUCUUUAAGGCUGAUGUGAAAGCCCACGGCUCAACCGUGGAGGGUCAUUGGAAACUGGGGAACUUGAGUACAGAAGAGGAAAGCGGAAUUCCACGUGUAGCGGUGAAAUGCGUAGAGAUGUGGAGGAACACCAGUGGCGAAGGCGGCUUUCUGGUCUGUAACUGACGCUGAGGCGCGAAAGCGUGGGGAGCAAACAGG
rnacentral:rRNA from 1 species